AAACAAUAGCAUAUUACAAUGCAGUUUGAUUUCGACUCAAAAAGAGACUAGUCAUUGUUUU
rnacentral:tRNA from 1 species